CCUACGGGUGGCAGCAGUCGAGAAUCAUUCACAAUGGGGGAAACCCUGAUGGUGCGACGCCGCGUGGGGGAAUGAAGGUCUUCGGAUUGUAAACCCCUGUCAUGUGGGAGCAAAUUAAAAAGAUAGUACCACAAGAGGAAGAGACGGCUAACUCUGUGCCAGCAGCCGCGGUAAUACAGAGGUCUCAAGCGUUGUUCGGAAUCACUGGGCGUAAAGCGUGCGUAGGCUGUUUCGUAAGUCGUGUGUGAAAGGCGCGGGCUCAACCCGCGGACGGCACAUGAUACUGCGAGACUAGAGUAAGGGAGGGGGGACCGGAAUGCUCGGUGUAGCAGUGAAAUGCGUAGAUAUCGAGAGGAACACUCGUGGCGAAGGCGGGUUCCUGGACAUUAACUGACGCUGAGGCACGAAGGCCAGGGGAGCGAAAGGGAUUAGAUACCCUGGUAGUC
rnacentral:rRNA from 1 species